UAAUUUUAAUUCUAGAUAAAAUUAUAAUAAUUUUUGAUAUGCAUGGAAAUUAUACCAGUAUAAAAUUUUUUUAAAUAGAAAUCUUUAAGCAAAAAUAAUUAAGAGAUAAAUAUAGUGCCAGCAAUCGCGGUCAUACUAUAUCUUUAAAUAAUUUAACGGAAAUGUAGUUAUAUGAAAGAUUGGAGAACAAAAGAUUAGAAAAUAGGUCAAAUUUUAUCUAAAUAAAAAUUUCGCAAAAUUUUAGAAUCUAUAAAAACUAUUAAAAGAAAAGGAUUUGAUACCCUAUUAUUUUAGAAACAAAAAUUAUCCAGAGUUAAUGUAAAAUUUUUAAAACUCAAAGAAUAUGGCAGUAUAAAUAAAAUUUAGGGGAACUUGAUUUUUUAAACUAUGAUAAUACACAAAAACUUUACUUUAGAUUUUAAAAAUAUUUAUAUCUCCGUUUUAAGAAACUAAUUGAAAUUAUUAUUCAAAAUCUUUUUGAAAAAGCAAUUCAGGUCAAGACAAAGUAUUUAAAGAAGGAUUGAGUCCCAUUAAAAAAAUUGAAUAAAAAUGAGUUUAAAACAAAUUUAAAAGAGAACUUAAAAGUAACUUUUUUAAAAAAGAAAAGGUGAACAAAAAUAUUUAUAUGUACAAAUUGCCCGUCACUCUCAAUUAAAAUUGAGAUAAGUCGAAACAUAGUAAAUGUAUUGGAAAAUGCAUUUAGAUAAA